GACAGAGGGUGCAAACGUUGUUCGGAAUUACUGGGCGUAAAGCGCAUGUAGGCGGCCACGCAGGUCGGAUGUGAAAUCCCUCGGCUCAACCAAGGAAGUGCAUUCGAAACCGCAUGGCUCGAGUCCCGGAGAGAGUGGCGGAAUUCUCGGUGUAGAGGUGAAAUUCGUAGAUAUCGAGAGGAACACCGGCGGCGAAAGCGGCCACCUGGACGAGGACU
rnacentral:rRNA from 1 species